UACAGAGGGUGCGAGCGUUAAUCGGAAUUACUGGGCGUAAAGCGCGCGUAGGCGGCUUUUCAAGUCGAUUGUGAAAUCCCCGGGCUUAACCUGGGAACUGCAGUCGAGACUGUCUAGCUAGAGUAUGGGAGAGGGAAGUGGAAUUUCAGGUGUAGCGGUGAAAUGCGUAGAUAUCUGAAGGAACAUCAGUGGCGAAAGCGGCAUCCUGGACCGACACUGACGCUGAGGAGCGAAAGCCAGGGGAGCAAACGGG
rnacentral:rRNA from 1 species